GAUCAUCUACCCUGGAGUGGGGAAUAACGCUGGGAAACCGGCGCUAAUACCGCAUAUUCCCGAGAGGGGAAAGCAGCAAUGCGCUCGAGGAGGAGUCCGCGGCCGAUUAGCUAGUUGGUAGGGUAACGGCCUACCAAGGCUAUGAUCGGUAGCCGGCCUGAGAGGGCACACGGCCACACUGGCACUGAAACACGGGCCAGACUCCUACGGGAGGCAGCAGUGGGGAAUCUUGCACAAUGGGGGAAACCCUGAUGCAGCGACGCCGCGUGAGCGAUGAAGCCCUUCGGGGUGUAAAGCUCUUUCGGCAGGGAAGAUGAUGACGGUACCUGCAGAAGCAGCUGCGGCUAACUACGUGCCAGCAGCCGCGGUAAUACGUAGGCAGCAAGCGUUGUUCGGAGUUACUGGGCGUAAAGGGUGUGUAGGCGGCCCCCUAAGUUUGGUGUGAAAUCUCCCGGCUCAACCCGGGAGGGUGCGCCCGAA
rnacentral:rRNA from 1 species